UUUUGAACGUGAUCGUAAACUUUAUAUCGUAAAAAAAAUGCGUAACAAUAAAAUAGCUGCCGGAAAGUAUAUGGAUGAAGUGGUGGUGAGGAGGUGGCAAAGGGUCGGAGCGGUUGAUACUUUCGUUUCAGAGCCACGUUCGAAUAUAUGUUGUGCAUGACAAGAAAACAUAAUGUAUCAGGAAACAGCUGGGAUGUUACGGGGUGAUUUAAUUUAUUUCCAUAGAUGUCGAUAAAUCGUUGCUAACGAAAAACGAUUCUGUGCAAAAGUUUGGUUU